ensembl:lncRNA
GUGUGAUGCCAUUCUAUGCAAAAUUGCGGCGUAGCAAUAGGGCAAUGAUCAAAUAUUCAUAGGAGAUGUUUGUGGAGACCUAAAACCAGGAUCCAGAGUGGCUGGCUGCUUAUGCAACUGUCGGUGGCUCCAAGGGUAUGCAUCAUGAGAGAGGCCACCUUGGAUACUGUCCUGCCUCCUUGACCCAGCUUCUUAGAAACCCUGGACAGUCUAGUGUGCCUUGUUAGUCAAAGCAGUCAAAAGGCCCACCCGGGCUCAAGAGGAGAAGAGCCAGCCCUCAUCUCCUGAUGGAAGAGUCACAGAGCUUUAGAAUGAGCAUGUGGGGUUGAAAACAUUGUUGUGGACAUUUUUUGAAAAAUACAAUCUGCCAUCAGACAUUUCGCAGAUGCUGGGGGGCAGGACGGUCCUCAGCUGAUAUCUGAGUUGCAAUCAGGAAAAACAAAAAAAAAAACAGCACUACUAUUUUUUAAGACAAAAUAUUAACUGAACUAGACUUCAAAUCAAACUGAGAUCAUUUGAAAGAACACGGAUAAUGAAUAGAGGCUUUUAUUAUCGUGGAUUUCCCAGAAUUUGGCUGUGAAAAUCAUCAUGAAAAUGAACAAGCGGAAUGAAAAAUGUUUCUCUCUCAACGGUGCUGGAGAUUCACCAGGGAAGAGCUGGAAGCCGGCCCUGACAACGUCAGAAGGUCAGACCUUGGUUGUCAGGGGGACUGACCUGGUGAGACAGUGUGGAGAGGAGGUGGUCGGACAGAUCCGGGCUAGCCUAGAAAGGACAAGACACCGCACAUUCUUCUAACGUCGUCUGCUCCACCUACAUGUGUGUUCUCUCACGAGUGACAGCUUAGGGACAUGGACUUGAGAGCUUGGGAAUCUCCUAUUCCAUUUGGAGCUUUAGCAAGUGAGUCAAGGGCUUACAGACCUUGGCCUCCUUCUUGGUCUCUGACCCCAGAGACCAUCUCCUGAAAAGGAAGGCUCCCCACACCAGGCACUCACUCCUGUCCCCGUUGCUCUGGCUUUACAAUGAGUCUGCAUGGUUGGAACACUAAGGUCCAGAGAAGGGGAGAAGACGCAUCUGCCCAUCUCUCUAUCAGCACCUAUGCUAGGACUCACAGAGAGGCCCACUUGGGGUGUGGCACACGCCUGAAUUCCCCCCUGCAUCCCCCUUCCUUGCAAAGGGCAGGCCCCGCUGGAGAUCAUGCCAGACGGUGUCAAACAGGAACGCGUCUUCCUUCUUGAAAUACAUUCUGGAUCAGCAGACAGGCCCCCUUCAAGACCCCAGCAAUGCGGUUUGCCCAAAGCCUAGCACACAGUAACUCAGAAACAUAUGUGGUGAGCAAUAACAGUCAUAAAUUUUAUGAGAUUAUGUGUUCCUAAUGUGAGAUUUCAAGCUGAUGUGUUUGUUGCGCUAUGCCAAGCUUCAGUGUGAUUCGAUCAAGUUGUACUUAAUCUUCCCUUAUUUACUCCGGGUGAGAGUGAGUCAUGGAGUAGUCUCUGGUCCAGUCUGCUGAGCUAAUUUGCCCCAAGUAUUGUGAUGGAGUGGUGAUUUGUUUUCUCUGAGUGCUCAGAGUUUAUUUGCUCAUAUCAUUAAAUGGGUCUGGACCACAUGUAGUGAGAAGACUGUAGCCUAGGACCCCUCCGAAGAGCCAGCCUGGGACGGGGGAUAUCUCAGACGUGUUACAGCUUCUUUUCCUCCCAAACUGAGUCAUGCACAAUGCUUUGUGUGUCUGUUGACUGGAAGACUUAACUCUGUGUCAUUUUUUACAGAGAAAGCCAUCUUGACCACCUCCCCUGCAUCCCAAAGCCCAUAGCCAGUGAGUCUAGAGUGAAGAGAGAGUAUUGUCAUCUCACGGAAGAUGAAAAAGGCCCAGACGUUUUGCCCAAGGCUAGGAAUGAAUCCAACCACCAAGUUUGUUCCCUAGGGAGAUGAUGGGACUGUGCAGAUGGAAUCUAGGGACUUGACACAGGCCUCGCUGUUCUUGGGCUAAGAAUAGUGAGAACCAGUCUACGCUUGACAGCUAGGGUUUGGGGACCUUCUGCUGUUACAGGGAUGGGAGAAAUGUGGCCCAUGGGCUCGGGGCAGGGGUGAGAGAGUUUUCCAUGACUUCUCCUUUGAUCGUGGUGCUGACUGUCCCAAUUUUUCUGGGGUUCACAAGUUUCCCAGGGUGUGGGGCUUUCAGAGACGAAAUGUGGAAAAGUUCUGGGCAAAACAGGACAAGUUGGUUACUCUAACCUUAAUGUCCCUUGACUUUGGCAGCUUAGGCCUUCAGAUUUAGACUAAGCUUUGGGUUGGGAAUGGGAAGGCCACUGUCUCCUCUAACAAAAGGGCCACUGCCUGGCCUCUGUUGUGGGAAAAAAGGUCACAGUUUCAGUUUCUAUCUCUGACUGCUCUUGAACUCACAUUAAGACAUAAUUGACAUCUUAACAGUAUUAAGGUAUGGGGCCGUUAAGAGGGGGUCAUGAACAGAUUAAGGUAUUAAUAGUCUGCCUGUGGAUGCUAGUUACUGUGGCAGCCCCUCAUAAGAAAGAGAGUCCCGUCCCUCAGAUUCCCUUUUCCAGGCACAUGCUUGACCUUCCGAGUCUCCGUCAUGCAAAGGCGUAGCAAAGGAAUUGUGCCAUGCCCUUGGCUUCCAAGCCUCAUCAAAUAAAGAAAUAAAUUAAAUUUCUAAUUUUCCUAGUCUGUGGUAUUCUGUUACAACAAAAUAAAAUGGACUAAGACAUAAACCUGC